AACGCGAAGAACCUUACCAAGGCUUGACAUCCCUCUGACCGGUAUAGAGAUAUACCUUCCCUUCGGGGCAGAGGUGACAGGUGGUGCAUGGUUGUCGUCAGCUCGUGUCGUGAGAUGUUGGGUUAAGUCCCGCAACGAGCGCAACCCUUAUCGUUAGUAGCCAGCAGGUUAAGCUGGGCACUCUAAUGAGACUGCCGUGGAUCACACGGAGGAAGGUGGGGAUGACGUCAAAUCAUCAUGCCCCUUAUGUCUUGGGCUACACACGUGCUACAAUGGCCGGAACAAAGUGAAGCAAAGCUGUGAAGCUAAGCAAAGCACAGAAAACCGGUCUCAGUUCGGAUUGUAGUCUGCAACCCGCCUGCAUGAAGUCGGAAUCGCUAGUAAUCGCGAGUCAGCAUAUCGCGGUGAAUACGUUCCCGGGUCUUGUACACACCG
rnacentral:rRNA from 1 species